rnacentral:rRNA from 1 species
UCCAGAGGGGGCGAUCGUUGUUCGGAAUUACUGGGCGUAAAGGGCGCGUAGGCGGCCGACUAAGUCAGACGUGAAAUCCCCUGGCUCAACCAGGGAACUGCGUCUGAUACUGGCUGGCUUGAAUCCGGGAGAGGGAUGUGGAAUUCCAGGUGUAGCGGUGAAAUGCGUAGAUAUCUGGAGGAACACCGGUGGCGAAGGCGGCAUCCUGGACCGGCAUUGACGCUGAGGCGCGAAAGCCAGGGGAGAAAACGGU